GAUGAACGCUGGCGGCGUGCCUAAUACAUGCAAGUCGAGCGAACGGACGAGAAGCUUGCUUCUCUGAUGUUAGCGGCGGACGGGUGAGUAACACGUGGAUAACCUACCUAUAAGACUGGGAUAACUUCGGGAAACCGGAGCUAAUACCGGAUGAUAUUUUGAACCGCAUGGUUCAAAAGUGAAAGACGGUCUUGCUGUCACUUAUAGAUGGUUCCGCGCUGCAUUAGCUAGUUGGUAAGGUAACGGCUUACCAAGGCAACGAUGCAUAGCCGAGCUGAGAGGGUGAUCGGCCACACUGGAACUUGGACACGGUCCAGACGCCUACGGGAGGCAGCAGUAGGGAAUCUUCCGCAAUAGGCGAAAGCCUGACGGAGCAACGCCGCGUGAGAGAUGGAGGUCUUCGGAUCGUAAAGCUCUGUUUUUAGGUAAGAACAUAUUUGUAAGUAACUGUGCACAGCGUGACGGUACCUAAUCAGAAAGCCACGGCUAACUACGUG
rnacentral:rRNA from 1 species